CUUUUUUAGAAAGUAAACUAGCAGUUGGAUACUGGCAAGCUUAGAGUUGUGUCUCCCCCGAUGGUGGAAUUCCCGGUGUAGCGGUGAAAUGCGUAUAGAUCGGGAGGAACACCAGUGGCGAAGGCGGCCAUCUGGGACAACACUGACUCUGAAGCACGAAAGCGUGGGGAGCAAACAGGAUUAUAUACCCUGGUAGUCCACGCCCUAAACGAUGCGAACUGGACGUUGGGCACACUUAGGUGCUCAGUGUCGAAUCUAACGCGUUAAGUUCGCCGCCUGGGGAGUACGGUCGCAAGACUGAAACUCAAAGGAAUUGACGGGGGCCCGCACAAGCGGUGGAGUAUGUGGUUUAAUUCGAUGCAACGCGAAAAACCUUACCUGGCCUUGACAUGUCCGGAAUCCUGCAGAAGAUGCGGGAGUGCCUUCGGGAAUCGGAACACAUGUGCUGCAUGGCUGUCGUCAGCUCGUGUCUUGAGAUGUUUGGGUUAAGUCCCGCAACGAGCGCAAAUCCUUUGUCCUUAGUUGCCAUCACGUAAUGGUGGGAACUUCUAAUGAGACUGCCGGGUGACAAACCCGGAGGAAGGUGGGGGAUGACGUCAGUCAUCUUGGCUCCUUUAGAGUUCAGGGUCUAUAACACG
rnacentral:rRNA from 1 species